AUGAAGCAAAGAAAAUCCUUAAAAAUCCUUUUAAAUAAUAAGAAAUGCUCAGCAAGAAAAAAGAGAAAUAAUACAUUAUCUUCAUACUCUAUACAAUCUUCACGUAACCUUGGCCUUUCAGCUAAAGGAAAAGGUAUUUUUCAAUUUCCUCCUUACAAAAGUAAGUUUCAGAGAUUAAAAUUUGUUCCAAACAGGUUCCACAUGACACAUACUGAAUUCAUUCCCAGAUGCAUAAAUGGCUGCAGAACUACAUCUGAAUAAAGACUUACAUAAGGGCUAAAUCCUUCUCAAAUUAAAUGCGCAUUAUAUGUACCUUCUUUUGGCAAACAAAGAAAAAGCCAUCCUUUAUUUGCCCAUUCAAAUGAGGCUGCGGAAUACCGAAGUAGUACCAAGCGAGAAAUUGUCUUUUAGAGUUGUAUUGUUAGCUAGUUAGUCCAUAGUACAGAAGGCUCCUGAAGUGAUGGUAGAUGUGAAUGCAGAAAAGCUAUGACAAGAGAAAGAACAGAGAUGGAAAAAAGGCUGGCUUGAGGGGCAUAGGGAGAAAAACAUGAGAAAAGUGGAAAAGGAAGUCUGGAAUAUAAUAAACUCAAGGAAACACAGAUCAGAAAGAUAGAGCUAAAAUUCAAUCAGUAAGAUUAAAGGAAGAACAAAUUGUGUAUAGCGAUUUAGGUUCAACUGAGGAAACUCUUGUCAGAGUCCAUGAGCCAGAGUAAUUGGAGCAGCCUUGUUUUCCAAGGCUGUGGGCAAUCAAGGGCACAGUUUUAACUUUUAUUUUGGAGCUGUGCCUGAAACGCAGACUGAAAAAUUUUGCUUACUUACAUGAUCAGAAGCUGAAAACAAUGACAUUUAGGUAGCUGUCAUGGGAAUCUAGUUGAAAACCAACACAUUGAUUGGUUUUCAACUAGAUUAAUUGGAUUAAUUAUGUGUUUUCCAGGUGUGUAUGAAAUGCAGUCCAUUCAGAAAGCAGAGAUAACGUCUUCAUACAGGAUACAUAGAGGAAACAAGAAAAUCUAUUUUGUAUCCUGGGCAUUUGCUGUUUUGUUGAGAGUUACAGUGUAAUUGAAAAAGAAACCUACUUUAUCUUUUUCAUGGGGCAGCAUGGAAGUGAGCAGUGGCCCAGGCAAGAACGUUUCCGCUGGAUACUAGCUUUCGCUUUUUUUUUACUAAAAAAUGCUGAUUUUUAUUACUUUCUAAAAAUGAGCUAUGCCAUGUAAAAAGGCAAGUUUAAAGCAAAAAUUGGAAUUUUAAAAGUUUCUCAUUGGAAACAUUGGUCAAUAGCUGACUAAGAAUGGCAAUUUAUGCCCUGAGGCGUAUUUAACAAGACUGUUUUCUAUGUGGGUAACUUGAUGCAUGCAUUUGGCUAAUAAUGGGCACUUGAAGGAUCUGUGCUUGAGUCAAUAAGAUUUCUUAAUGUGUUCUCUUAAUGGACCAUUAACUUUCUAUUUUGAAGGUUAUCAAGGCUGCAUUAUUUAUUUAGUUAUAUAUUGGAUUUAGAAAGUAGGCUCUCAAAGCCUAUGCUGUACUUGGCAUUUAUUGAGUAACUACUCUUCUGAACUCUUAAAUAUAAUGUGCUCACAGCCUGGUCCUUCCCUUCUAAUAGCAUGAUUAUAUACUGUUUUUAAUAUACUUAUUAUUUUUCUAUUUGAUAAUAUAAUUCUUUAAUAGCCAUAUGGGAAUCUCCAUGCAGCUAGUUAAACAUGGAAAAACUCUUAAAGAGAGCAAUGUGGGUGAGCUUUUUUUCCCUUGAGCCACAAGAGGUUGUAAACUUCUUUUCUUUCUGUUAAAACUCAUUUCCCUUCCUGGUUCCCACUUUGUCUAACAUUUUAUUGUAAUGUUCCUGGAAUCUAUUUUGUAGAUUUUUUCUGGGCUAUAACUGUGCAUUGCAGUUUCCAUUAAUAUUGUUUUCUGGUAAUGAACUCUGUGCUUUCAAAAGAACAAUCAUACUUAAUCUUUUGUAUUACAAUUGUGGAUCCUUUUGUAUGCAGUAGAUAAGCAUAAAAAUAUAAGAAAAUAAAAGAUCAAAACUUCAGUCUUAGGACUAAAUAAUGUUUACAUUUUUUUGUUUUGUUUUGUUUUGCAGAACUGUACUUUGAGCCAGAAACUGUCAGAAGAAUAAAUUUUUCAGCUUUCUUCUAGGCUAUUAUUUCUGGGAAGCUCCUCCAACAGCUUCCAUCUUCCACCCAAUUCCUGCCUUUGACCAUCUGAAUCUCAGACUUUCUGCCUUGUUAGAGUCUUUUGGUUCUUUUAUUUCCCCUUUUCCUUGCCUCCUGCCUUCCUGUCAUCAAUUAGCAAAUACUUUGUCUGCUUUGCUAAGCUGCUAACAGAACACAAGACAGUAAAAAUUCAAUAAGUGCUAUAAAGGGUAAUAGAGUCUAAUUAGAGAGAUAAAAACAUCGCAAAUGGAUCGAUUAAGUAGAACUAAUUACCACCAUUACCUAUAAUAACAGCUAACAUUCAGAGCCAUUCCUUUAUAUUAAGGACUUCAUACACAUCAUCUCAUUUAAUGACUAUGAGCCUGGGAAAGCUCUUCAUACAUUCUGAGUUGAGAGUUCCUCCCUUACACAAGUCAGGGAUCUUACUGCCGAAUAACAUAGCAUAUAUCUAUAGGCCAUGGUAGUGAAUGGAGCUAUUACUGUUGGAUGCAAUAACAAAGAAAGGCUACAUGGGAGAGAUAAAUAUUUAUUGAAAGAAUUCAUAAACAUUGCCUAUUAAGUAUAUGUGAAAGCAAUACAAAAUGGAUAAAAAUGCAUUUGAGUGUAUCUAUGAGUGUUUUUUAAGGAAGAAGCAAUGAGAAGACGUAUCUAUGGAAGAGCUGUUUCUGAGAUAACCUAAAUCAUCAAGCCCUUUAGAUUUUGGGACUACAAUUUAUAAAAAGGG
ensembl:lncRNA